ACUCCUACGGGAGGCAGCAGUGGGGAAUAUUGGACAAUGGGCGCAAGCCUGAUCCAGCAAUGCCGCGUGUGUGAAGAAGGCCUUCGGGUUGUAAAGCACUUUUAUCAGGAGCGAAAUACCACGGGUUAAUACCCUAUGGGGCUGACGGUACCUGAGGAAUAAGCACCGGCUAACUUCGUGCCAGCAGCCGCGGUAAUACGAAGGGUGCAAGCGUUAAUCGGAAUUACUGGGCGUAAAGCGUGCGUAGGCGGUUUCUUAAGUCUGCUGUGAAAUCCCCGGGCUCAACCUGGGAAUGGCAGUGGAUACUGGGAAGCUAGAGUGUGAGAGAGGAUGGUGGAAUUCCCGGUGUAGCGGUGAAAUGCGUAGAGAUCGGGAGGAACAUCAGUGGCGAAGGCGGCCAUCUGGCUCAACACUGACGCUGAGACGCGAAAGCUGGGGGAGCGAACGGGAUUAGAUACCCCGGUAGUCC
rnacentral:rRNA from 1 species